ensembl:snRNA U6 U6 spliceosomal RNA
GUGCCUGCUUGGGCAACACAUAUAAUAAAAGCAGAACGAUACAGAGGAGAUUAGCAUGGCCUCUGCACAAGGACGGCACACAAAUUUGUGAAUUUUUUUUUU